UGGGGGAUAGUUUAAUGGGCAGAACAGCAGACUCUGGAUCUGUCAGUCGUGGUUCGAGUCCACGUCCCCCAGCCU
rnacentral:tRNA from 1 species